AGGAGAAAAGGUGCUUCUUCUCCUGAACUACAGCUGUAGCUGGGUGAAACCCUGUGGCUGCCACCUGUGCCUUCAGUCAUACACAGCAAUUAAACUUCAGGAGGGACAAAGGUGUGUAUCCCAGCUGAAAUUACAGGGUGAGCUGAAGAAAGCAGAAACCAGGAUUUUUGACUGGGAUCUGGCAAGGCCAGUAAAGACAAGGACAUCCUAAAAGGGGGCUUAAGUGUCUGACAGAACCUGAAAAGGUCUCCAGAGGGGACGUGUAUGACACAGCUUCUUUCACCCAAGAAGCUGUGCUUGACUGCCUGAGACCAUGCCUGGUUUGUGUAACUCCAGUGCUUCCCAAGGGAUGCUCAUUUGUGUCAGCUGCAACUCUGCCCAAGUGGAGAACCGGGGCAGAUACAAAAGCAGCUGGAGCACGAAGAAGGAACCCAGUUUUCCUUUGGAUGCCGGUGCCAGGAAAGGUGAAGGGAGCCAGACCCUGGCAGUAGUGGCUGAUGCUGCCAGCAGGAGCUCCCAAGAAGCACUGCUUUAUGCAGGGCUGGGACCCAGCUAGGAGAGAGAAGGAGCAGCAGGAGGACUGCAUGGUCAAGGGAGCAGGGAGAAGGCAAGGAGCAGAACAGAUGGGGAGAGGAGACAGAAUGAGUAACAGGCGGAGACAGCAGGAGCAGUGUAACUCCA